CAGACAGUAAAAUGUGUCCAGUUCUCACUAGGUUGUGUUUAUAGAGGAAUAUGUCAAAUUCUAACUAGCAGAGCUGGCUCUGGCCCUCGACCACCUGCACCAUCCUGGCAUAGUUUACAGAGACCUCAAACCAGAGAUGUAUUUUGCAGGACGAAGCAAGGGGACAAGAUGAGAGGGAAAGUUCCGCUAACAAGGGCAACUACUAGGAGCUUUCAGAGCUAAAUGCCCUCCUGUUCCCUGAUUAAGAGUGGAUGACUACUCCACUACCAGUGUCAACUCUUUACUGAACUGAAGCCAUGUCUCAUGUGCCCUCUCAUCCACUGGCUCACUGAAUAUUUCCUCUCCAAGCACUUCAAAUCUUGUCCUCAUUGGAAGAGUUGAGCUCUUCUGCAACACCAUCCAUCCAUGAUAAGCUUGUCCUGCACUGGAAGAGUUGAGCUCUUCUGCAACACCAUCCAUCCAUGAUAAGCUUGUCCUGCACUGUAUCCUCUGAACAUCUCAACCCAGGUCCUGCAACC